rnacentral:rRNA from 1 species
UACAGAGGGUGCGAGCGUUGUCCGGAAUCACUGGGCGUAAAGGGCGCGUAGGUGGCGACCCAAGUCGAUGGUGAAAGCUCGCCUCUCAACGGCGAGUCGGCCACCGAUACUGGGUUGCUGGAGCACUGUAGAGGCAGAUGGAAUUCCGGGUGUAGCGGUGGAAUGCGUAGAGAUCCGGAAGAACACCAGUUGCGAAGGCGGCCGACUGGACACAUAUUGACGCUGAGGCUCGAAAGCGUGGGAGCAACAGG